CGUGCAAGGACAAUCGCUCGACGGCAAAUACGAGGUUGUAGUACAGAUACUGUGCCUGGAUGACAAUCCAUUUUGUGCUUGGGCGCUCGAAUUUACUCGGCUGCAGCGCCUCUCUAGGGCGAUAGGCCAUGGGGACUGAUAAUCGCCAUUGCUCUAAUUUAUUUUUUAUGCGCUUGAUGGAGGCUAGGAGAGAUGCCUUCGUCUUCAGAAUGGCCUGUGUGGAAAAGAGCGACGUGUAAGUCAUCGAGCAUAGCCUGCCGAGAUGAAUAGCAGAAAGAAACCAAUCGUAACCUCCAAUGGUAGAUUCGGGCACAGCAGGGACGACACAGCCGAUGUCCUCAUCGGCUAUUACCUAGUCCAAAAACGCUGUCAUCUUUUCGAUGUAGUAGAUUGUCCAAAACAGCCUUAGAUGGCUCUCCUGAGCAUGACAGGAUUUGUGAUAGCGGAGAUACUGGGCCACCCUGGCAGCCUCGUAGAUCAGUGUUUGAUCCAGCUUAAUGCAGCUUACAUUCAUUGCAAAAAUGGACUGCUAAUUGUCAGACUAAACGAACUCUUUAUAUCAAUGAUGGUGACCCUACCAUGGCCGUCAGGGCCUACGAGUGGCGUCUGUCAGUGUUGUUCUUCUACUUUUGCUGGUCAGAAAGCAACUCACUUGGAGUUUGACGAGGGAGUACGCAGGGACAAUGAGAUCAGGGAGAUGCCCAAGACAGAUCUGGAACAAGCCCCACGAUUUCCCCGAUCCUAGCACGAAGCUGCCAUUAUUAUGAUAUUGACUACCCAAGGCUAGGACGGCAUGGUACAAGGCCGAUAAUGCUUUGUUGGUAUUCUCCGUGUCCUGAGUUCUCAAUUCGAGAACAUGCGACGAGAAUUCUUGUCUGUCAAGAAAAGGAUAAAGUGGGUGGAGGUUCUCAAAGUAGGCUAUAGAGCUUGAUCAGCUCAAUUCCGAUAAACCCGGUGAGAAAGAAGUACCUUUGAUAUAGGUAUCUGCUUCUGCCGCAGUUACCAUAAUGGUCUCCGGGGGCUUGUCGAUGUUGAUUAUUGUAAAAUUUGAGUCACGCUUGACACAAAUCUCCUUGCUCAUGAGAUUUUCCAUGUAAUCGACAAGCUCCCUAAAGCCGUCUGCCUCGAGACGCUCCGUUAAAAUUCUCAUACGUUGGCUUGAAUAGAAGCUAAUCGCCGAACUCGUUACUAGCUGUGUGUUAGCUGAAG
rnacentral:sRNA from 1 species